AACGAACGUUGGCGGCGUGGCUUAACACAUGCAAGUCGAGCGGAGAUGAGGUGCUUGCACCUUAUCUUAGCGGCGGACGGGUGAGUAAUGCUUAGGAAUCUGCCUAUUAGUGGGGGACAACAUUCCGAAAGGAAUGCUAAUACCGCAUACGCCCUACGGGGGAAAGCAGGGGAUCUUCGGACCUUGCGCUAAUAGAUGAGCCUAAGUCGGAUUAGCUAGUUGGUGGGGUAAAGGCCUACCAAGGCGACGAUCUGUAGCGGGUCUGAGAGGAUGAUCCGCCACACUGGGACUGAGACACGGCCCAGACUCCUACGGGAGGCAGCAGUGGGGAAUAUUGGACAAUGGGCGGAAGCCUGAUCCAGCCAUGCCGCGUGUGUGAAGAAGGCCUUUUGGUUGUAAAGCACUUUAAGCGAGGAGGAGGCUACCUGGAUUAAUACUCUAGGAUAGUGGACGUUACUCGCAGAAUAAGCACCGGCUAACUCUGUGCCAGCCGCCGCAGUAACAC
rnacentral:rRNA from 1 species